rnacentral:rRNA from 1 species
CAUGCAAGUCGAGGGGCAGCGCGGGAUAGCAAUAUCCUGGCGGCGACCGGCGGAAGGGUGCGUAACGCGUGAGCGACAUGCCCGUUGCCCGGGGACAACCGGUGGAAACGCCGACUAAUCCCCGAUGGGAUAUUGUGCCGCAUGGCACGAUAUUGAAAGUUACGGCGGCGACGGAUUGGCUCGCGUCCGAUUAGCUUGUUGGCGGGGUAACGGCCCACCAAGGCUACGAUCGGUAGGGGUUCUGAGAGGAAGGCCCCCCACAAUGGGACUGAGACACGGCCCAUACUCCUACGGGAGGCAGCAGUGAGGAAUAUUGGUCAAUGGGCGGAAGCCUGAACCAGCCAUGCCGCGUGCGGGAAGGAGGCCCUAUGGGCUGUGAACCGCUUUUGCCGGGGGGCAAUAAGGGCGUCGCGCACGCCCGAUGAGAGUACCAGGC